rnacentral:rRNA from 1 species
AUUGAACGCUGGCGGCAGGCCUAACACAUGCAAGUCGAGCGGAGCGGCGGACGGGUGAGUAAUGCCUAGGAAUCUGCCUGGUAGUGGGGGAUAACGUCCGCAAACGGGCGCUAAUACCGCAUACUAUCAGAUGAGCCUAGGUCGGAUUAGCUAGUUGGGGGGGUAAUGGCGUACCAAGGCGACGAUCCGGAACGGGUCUGAGAGGAUGAUCAGUCACACUGGAACUGAGACACGGUCCAGACUCCUACGGUAGGCAGCAGUGGGGAAUAUGGGGAAAUGGGCGAAAGCCUGAUCCACCCAGGCCGCGUGUGUGAAGAAGGUCUUCGGAUUGUAAAGCACUAUAAGUUGGGAGGCGUUACCAACAGAAUAGGCGCCGGCUAACUACGUGCCAGCAGCCGCGGUAAUUC